AACACCCAAUACUAGCCAUCUAGUUCAUAUAAGAAAUUACCAUUUUACCCUUCUCCUCAAAUUUUUUCACCUCUUUGAACGUAAGCCAUAAAGCUCUUUCGAUGUCGAGCCAGAUCGUGGAACAAGAUUGGAGAGACGUAACUCGCUCAGAUCAACAGUUUUCUCCCGAUACAAAAUGGGUAGACGAGGAACACAACCAAAUACUGAACAUGAAACUUCCAGGGUUUCCAAAGAAUCGACUACAAAUCACCUUGAAUGCAACAACAAGGACUCUCACAAUUACUGGACAGAAACAAGAUGGCCUAUUCAACAUUAUUCGUUUGAACGAACGUAUACCGAUCGACGACACAUUCUCCCUAGACGGAGUGUUUGCAAGACUGCAUGAUCAGACUCUUUUUAUUACCUUUCCCAAGAAGAAAUAAAUCGUCAUUUCCAUCUAAAUGAAGAUUUACGUUCAUAACGAAUAAUGAUCAUCUUCUAUGUACAUAAUAGAGUUUGUGUAUUUCGAUACCCGUAAUUGAAUCGUGUGUGAAGAACGAUGUUAUUGUGCACUUGAAUAUGAAUAAAUUGAAUAUUUACAUUUA